rnacentral:lncRNA from 1 species
UCUAUUUAAAUAUGCUCCUACGAUUAAGGAAAUAAAUACCAAUAGUAAAGAGAGAGAACCGAAUGAGGUUAGAAAAUUCAGAUGAAAGAACCAUGUUGAGCAAGUUUUGUCAUUUAAUAGAACAAUUUACUAUGCACCCACAGCGAAAUUGCAUAGUUAUUGACAGCUAGAUACUCAUACUUGCCAUACAGCAACAAUUUUAUCUCUCCUACCACUUCAUCGACCAUGUACACUAAUAAAGUUUUCAUAGAGUACCAAUGGAAUGAAAAAUGUCUAGAAAGUCUCAAAGACCACACAAAUAUACUCCCUUAUUGUUAAGACUUAGAAGAGAGACAAGGUUCCCAGUGUUCCAUCAAAAUAUUACAACUUCUCAUUGACUAAACUCCACCAGGGACGAGUUCACUAUUAUUGUAUAUACUUUUCUUUUUUGAGAAAAAAAAAAAAAGAACCUACGCACCAACUUAAAGAGAAUCAAAUGUAUAGUAACCAAUUAACUAAUAAAAACUCUCCCACUAUGAUAUCAGAAUUAAUACCCAAUAUAAAUGUUCUAAAACACAUCGUAAGCUAUCUGCUGCACACACUUUGACUGUCUUUUGGCAAACUAUCAAUUUCUAUGAUGUAAAACUAGUUUCAGUUACCAGUAUGAUAGUGCUUGUCUCACGACAUAACUAAGAACAAAAUUUACUGACCUCCUCACAUUAUCGAAAAUUGACUCGCUGACAUGACAUCCAAAGGAAUCCAAAUGCAGCAUAAUUGGCCCCAACUCAUCUUCUUUAUUUGGCAUGCAUAUAAUAACCAAGCUCCAAUAAGAACGCCAGAAAUGAGAUAAUGCAAAAUAUGGUCACUGAGGAAGCCUAGGCAAUACAAAAUGCGGUUAGAAAAGAAGAUCUGAUAAGCUUACGAUCCACUAAUUGGGAGGAAAAUGUAUGGUUUCUGGAAUAUAUUCUCAUUUUUCCAAUGAGAUCUGAGUUUCUGAAAUGAAUCUUUUCUAUCAGUCUGCAUCAGGGAAAAAUAAAUACUAGUAAAACAUUUUAGGAAAUUUAGCUUUCAUAAAAGAAAAUGACUCCAAUCUUGCAAAAUUGUUUUGACUUUAAGAAAUAGUAAUUGUUCAAGUUUCUUCAAAACUUCUUAAAAAAGCAGCCCAAAAACACGCAAACAACUAACUAAAAAAUAAACAUCAAAAGUUGGGAGAGCAAGUACGAGAUACAACAGGACCAGUUUCUGAUUUUGACUGUGAAGAAUUUUGACUUACGCAUGUUAAACAUUCUACAAAAGACUCAAUGAUUUUGAGGUUGACAAGAUCAUCAAAUUCUCAUAAGAAAGUCUUUCCAUGCCUUUCAUAGUAAAAGCCUCUCAAAGAUACACUAGAUGAUCAAUCCAUUGUAUAUGACAUUGAUGUCUUUCUUGUUUCAUGAAUAUGAGAAGAUUCUAUGGCAAAGAGAUGAGUGCUUCCAGAAUUUCAGAAGCUAC